rnacentral:rRNA from 1 species
AUGGCGGUGAGCUUCCACCCGGCAUUUCCAUUGGCAACCGCGCCGCCGCUGCCCCACCACCUCGACGCCGCCGCCGACCCGGAGGUCGCCGACGCGCUCCUCGGCUUCCUCUGCGACCCGAUCGACCCCGCCAUGGACGCCGGCAUCGACGGCUUCCUCGACCUCAGCCCCGUCGACCCCGACGAUGGCGCCGACGUCGACGACCUGCAGCCGUGCGCCAAGAGGCCGCGAGCCGGCUGCGGCGGCGGCGACGACGGCCACGCGUGGCUCGACUUCGAGGGCGUCGAUGGCCAGCCAUGGAGGCCGGAGUUCGCGACCGAGUUCGUCCUGCCACUGCCCCCGCCCCCGCCGCAGACGCCUCACGCGGGGUUCGUGCGCGGAGCGGACGCGAGGAGAACCGAGGGCAACGGGCGCGUGGGCCAGACCGCGCCAAGCGCGGCGGCGAGGGAGCGCCGGAGGCGGAUCAGCGAGAAGACGGCGGAGCUGUCGCGCCUGGUCCCCGGCGGCCACAGGCUGAACACCGCCGAGAUGCUGCAGGAGGCCGGCCGCCACGUGAAGCUCCUCCAGGCCCAGGUCGGCGUGCUCGCGCUCAUGCGCACCCUCGAGGAGAAGAUCGUACCGCCCGUGGCGAGAGAGCGAAUGCACGCGCUGCUGACCUGCGGCGGCGUGCAAGAGCGGCUGGCGGCGGAGGGCAAGUGUCUGGUGCCGAGGAACCUGGUGGAGGCCAUGGCCGAGGACAAGGCCGUCAGGUCCAACGCACCGCUGAUCAGAGACCUCACCCGGUUCAACGAGUCGCUGCCGGAGCAAUAG